rnacentral:rRNA from 1 species
CGUGUAGGCGGCCAGACAGGUCAGCUGUGAAAACUCGAGGCUCAACCUCGAGACGUCGGUUGAAACCGUUUGGCUAGAGUCCGGAAGAGGAGAGUGGAAUUCCCGGUGUAGCGGUGAAAUGCGCAGAUAUCGGGAAGAACACCCGUGGUGAAGGCGGCUCUCUGGGACGGUACUGACGCUGAGACGCGAAAGCGUGGGGAGCGAACA